rnacentral:ncRNA from 1 species
GAUCAGCAUUGUUCGGGGCAUGAUAUAUGCGACGGAACUCCCGGCAAGAAAAGCUUGCAAAGGUGAUUCCCUUUUC